rnacentral:rRNA from 1 species
CUACGGGAGGCAGCAGUCGGGAAUUUUGGGCAAUGGGCGACAGCCUGACGCAGCGACGCCGCGUGGGGGAUGAAGGUCUUCGGAUUGUAAACCCCUUUCGGCAGGGAAGAUGGAACGGGUAACCGUUCGGACGGUACCUGCAGAAGCAGCCACGGCUAACUUCGUGCCAGCAGCCGCGGUAAUACGAAGGUGGCAAGCGUUGUUCGGAUUUACUGGGCGUACAGGGAGCGUAGGCGGUUGGGUAAGCCCUCCGUGAAAUCUCCGGGCCUAACCCGGAAAGUGCGGAGGGGACUGCUCGGCUAGAGGAUGGGAGAGGAGCGCGGAAUUCCCGGUGUAGCGGUGAAAUGCGUAGAGAUCGGGAGGAAGGCCGGUGGCGAAGGCGGCGCUCUGGAACAUUUCUGACGCUGAGGCUCGAAAGCGUGGGGAGCAAACAGGAUUAGAUACCCCGGUAGUCC